rnacentral:lncRNA from 1 species
AAGAUUCCUUUUGAUGUGAGUUGAUGACAAUCUUGUGGAAUGUAGUUGUAACGUCCAAGAUGCAGUCCUAUCCUUCUUUUGGCACAAGGGCCUCGACACGGAUAGAAACGCAUCUCGUCGUUUCGCAAGAAUCGAUAUCGUUACAAGUACAUGUACUGAAAAGGUGAGUAUAAGGAAUUGGCUUACACUCACCAGAAGCUACAUCAAUAUCACAUCAAUACAAAAAUAUACAGUCAUCAUGAAGAAGAGCAAGGUUUGACUACGAACGAAAUCAAACGAUAAAAGAACGACCUCCAUCCUUGCUAUCCCAGGUUGCCGGCCUGUAACACAUCCUAGAUCGAUGAUGAAGAAGAAGAAACUCCAAAUAGCACAAUCAACGCGCUCACGUCAAAUUAACUCUUUACAUGUACCUGCAACUGGUGUUGUAGUAAUCUGUGAGCCACAGGGACUCGGCAAUCUCAUUUCCAAAAGUAUCAAGACUAGCAAAGCUUGAUGGGUGAGGUAUGGUUAAGUGGUGAGGCUGCAGCAAGCGCCUAUGCAUUUAUUUGAGGUGGCUAACUUACGAGUACAAGAAUAGGAGGGGGACGAUUUACGCAUAACCGGACAUGAACUAAUAAUGAUCAAAUGAAUGAUCCUCAACACCUACUUACAUCACACAUAACCCCAUCGUGUCCUCGAUCAGAGAAGGAGCUCGCGAAAGAGACAGUCAUGGUUACGCACUCAGUUCACACAUUUUAAUUAAGCUUACUUUAAGUUAUCUAGAACCGGAUGUUAAACAAAGUUUCCACGUUGCCACAUAACCGUGGGUAUGGCUUUCUGAAAGAUUGAACCCUACAGGGGUACUCCAACUACUCCAUCACAAACUACCACAUGCUGCGACGGAAUGACCUCGAUGAGGGAAAACAUGUGAUCUUCUUGGGUUCCUAUUGAAAAGCCUCAACAUCAAGAUGGCCCAAAGUAUCCUCGCAAUCCCUCACACAAAACGCUCGAGAAAGGUAAAGCAAGUCCAGCAAGGCCACCCAAAGUGCCGACAAUCCCGAUAGGAGCCGCGUAUCUCGUUCUUAGGGAACAAUCGGAUGAGGGCAGCAUACAGUGGCCUGAUAAAAAUCACCCUAGUUGCCCCGGGUUUGCCCCGCACACGACUCUGUUUAGGAGCAGCACAAUCAGCACUAACUCCCUAUGUAUUAUGUUGAAUUACUCCUCGGGUAGCGCUAACUCCCUAUGUUUUCGGUAUUAACAAAGCUGUUAUGUUGAGAAAAUAUAGUACCAAUGUUGGUCCUUACCAGACGAGCUUUAUCACAAAACGAGAAUUUAGGGGGUCCCCAUAACAACCCCAAGCAUGUUAGCAACGCUCAUUUAUGGAACAUAACAUUGGUAGCCGAAACUAAGGCGACAAAGGUGGAACAAAACACUAGACUAAAAAGGCCAAGCCUUCCACCUUUUACCAAGUAUAUAGGUGCAUUAAUUUAAAUAGCACUAAUAAGGUGAUAUAAAAAGGAACCCAUGUUAUCACAUGGAAGCAACUACACCUGCAACUAGCAACUCUAUCAAAUGGUUAAGCAAGUGGUAACAUAACCAAUCGGUGGUUUGCUAGGUUGUAGAACAACUGAAGGUUUUCAUGGUAAUAUUGGGAGGCUUAUUAAACAGGUGGUAGGCAGCAAUACAUAGUGAUAGAAACGAUAUAACUUGCAUGGAAAUGAUAGUAGUGGUAUCUAGGAAAAUGAUCAUCUUACAUGUAAUCCCGCUUGAAAGAACGACUCCGUGAAGCAGACGAACCUACGUAGUCGAACGGAUCCUCACAUUUUGACACAUUUGUGGAACUCUAUCGAGACGACCAAACCAGAAACAAGAAUCAACACACGAUAUUAACCAUGGCACAUGAACGACAUGAUGCACAACACAUAUGAUGCAUGCUCGAUUAAAUCAUUCAAGGCACGGCAUGGCAAUUCACAAUCAAACACUACACAUUAAGUGAAGCUCAAUAUGCAACGAGUUGCAUACUGAAGAAACUCCACAAUUGAAUUAUUUAUUUCACUCCAUUGAAGUACAAAGAAAUAUUAAAUGUUGUUGAACAUGGCAAGGGGUGAAUCACAAAUAAUCUACCUAUCUAGGCAUUUUAAAUGAGGCCGGAAACGACAUAUAGCAUCUCCGAACCGACUCCACACGUUAACUUUGUAAUCUGUCCAAAUCUAUCCUAACUGCAUUUUAUGUUUGUUAAACGGCAAAACAAAGUGGAUCACGUGAUUUUACUCGUCGUUCUAGUCCAUUUACAUAAAUGGCUCAUCUCCAACGGAGCUACGCUUAAUUAACUACGGACUAAACCAUUUUUAUCACAUCGACACACAAACCAAUGCAAACAGCAUGCUAAACAGUAAAUAUGCAUGAAAGUUGGAAAAUAAUAUUCUAUGCGAAAAUCUACAUGUUCUACAUACAUAAUUUGUCGCGAUCCGACACACAGCUUAAAAACUACGGGCGUUCUAAAAUAGGCAUCUAAUGAAAAUUGCAAUUACUAGACGAAAGAAAAACUACGAGCAACAGACACAGGCUGGGCUAGCCACUGCCAAUGACAGUGGGGCCGCACAGGUGGUCAACUGGUCAACUCAAUAUCAGUCAAUCAUGGCGUUGGGCCCCGGAUAUCGUUGUCUCAUAGAAAAAAGGAAAAAAAUGGCCCAGGGUGAAACAAGAUGGCACUAGCCACUCGAUCUACUCCAUGUACCACGGCAGGAAUAAAAUGAAAAACCAAAUAACCUAACAUGUCGGACGGAUCUAGGGAGAACACAACCUUUCUGCCAUGGUUGUGAGCUUCUCACCAGCGAGGAACGGGAAGGCAGCGGCGAUGAUGUCCGGUGGCGCGGUCCGGAAGCGGUGGAUCCGAUGACACGGGCUCCAUUUCCAGCGUCAGGGGAUCAAUUCGCGGUGGACCGCUGGUGCACAAGCUGCGAGCACCCCAUCCAUGGUGGGGUUGAUGUUCCUGUUGGUCAAGAGAGAGAGAGAGAGNNNNN